rnacentral:pre_miRNA from 1 species
CUGCUUUUCUUCGUGUUCACAGCGGACCUUGAUUUAAAUGUCCAUACAAUUAAGGCACGCGGUGAAUGCCAAGAGAGAUGGC